GAGGAAGUGAGCAAGAGAAAGGAUAUUCCUGAGGGGGAAAAGGGAUCAUUGAUGGAAAGAAUAAGGAAACUUGAACAGGAAACAGAUGAAUUGGUGGUUAAAAUAGGAUCUGUCGAAAUGGGAAUUAAUUCAUUCGAAAAAUUAAAG